GUAUAGGGAGAGGUAUUAGCAGUAGAAAGAGGGAAGUGCUCAUGCCAUUGUACAGAACACUGGUGAGACCUCACUUGGAGUAUUGUACACAGUACUGGAGACCGUAUCUUCAGAAGGAUAUUGAUACCUUAGAGAGGGUUCAGAGAAGGGCUACUAAACUGGUUCAUGGAUUGCAUGAUAAAACUUACCAGGAAAGGUUAAAGGAUCUUGACAUGUAUAGCUUGGAGGAA